AACACUGUUAACCUGCGGUACCUGCGGAAGGAUCAUUAUCGAGUGUAGCCUACCCCGUAAAAAAGGGUGGUACCUCCCGUCCUUUGCAGGCCCCCCUUUUGAUGGGGGGGCUUUUUAAGACUUUCUGCUUCGGCGGGGUUACUCCCGCCGGAACACCCUCAAAAAAACUCUUGAUCAAAAACCGUUCAGUCCGAGAAUUUUUGAAAAUUAAAAAAAAACUUUUAACAACGGAUCUCAGAU
rnacentral:misc_RNA from 1 species